rnacentral:lncRNA from 1 species
UAAAAUAAGCUCUUCCUACACUCUCAGUCGUAGCCUGUCAGCCCAUAUCAUUAAUCAGUAGGGCCCCCCACAUGCCAUGAGAUGACAACACCAGACAUGAUUCUCGAAGAUGUCUAAUGGGAGACAAAAAUCUCUAACAGUUCUGUGCUCUCCCACGACUAGCAACCUGGCUAGUGGGCAGGACAACAGAUAAUGGACCGUAGGUGGCCACGACUAACAAACUAUUAG